rnacentral:rRNA from 1 species
UACGUAGGGGGCUAGCGUUGUCCGGAAUCAUUGGGCGUAAAGCGCGUGUAGGCGGCCCGGUAAGUCCGCUGUGAAAGUCGGGGGCUCAACCCUCGGAUGCCGGUGGAUACUGUCGGGCUAGAGUCCGGAAGAGGCGAGUGGAAUUCCCGGUGUAGCGGUGAAAUGCGCAGAUAUCGGGAGGAACACCAAUGGCGAAGGCAGCUCGCUGGGACGGUACUGGACGCU